UUCUAUUUAGCAUGCUAGUCGCACGAGUUCAGACUCGUGGCGAAUAGCUCAGUAACACGUGGCCAAACUACCCUUCGGAACACAAUACCCUCGGGAAACUGAGGCUAAUAGUGUAUACCAUACCACCACUGGAAUGAGUGGUAUGCCAAACGCUCCGGCGCCGAAGGAUGUGGCUGCGGCCGAUUAGGUAGACGGUGGGGUAACGGCCCACCGUGCCAAUAAUCGGUAUGGGUCAUGAGAGUGAGAACCCAGAGACGGAAUCUGAGACAAGAUUCCGGGCCCUACGGGGCGCAGCAGGCGCGAAACCUUUACACUGCACGACAGUGCGAUAGGGGGAUCCCAAGUGCACAGGCAUAGCGCCUGUGCUUUUCGGUACCCUAAGGCGGUACCAGAAUAAGGGCUGGGCAAGACCGGUGCCAGCCGCCGCGGUAAUACCGGCAGCCCAAGUGAUGGCCGAUCUUAUUGGGCCUAAAGCGUCCGUAGCUGGCCGCGCAAGUCCAUCGGGAAAUCCACCUGCUCAACAGGUGGGCGCCCGGUAGAAACUGCGUGGCUUGGGACCGGAAGGCGCGACGGGUACGUCCGGGGUAGGAGUGAAAUCCCGUAAUCCUGGACGGACCGCCGAUGGCGAAAGCACGUCGCGAGAACGGAUCCGACAGUGAGGGACGAAAGCCAGGGUCUCGAACCGGAUUAGAUACCCGGGUAGUCCUGGCCGUAAACAAUGUCUGCUAGGUGUGGCUCCCACUACGAGUGGGUGCUGUGCCGUAGGGAAGCCGCUAAGCAGACCGCCUGGGAAGUACGUCCGCAAGGAUGAAACUUAAAGGAAUUGGCGGGGGAGCACUACAACCGGAGGAGCCUGCGGUUUAAUUGGACUCAACGCCGGACAUCUCACCAGCAUCGACUGUAGUAAUGACGAUCAGUUGAUGACCUUAU
rnacentral:rRNA from 1 species